GGGGGUGCACCGGUUUCGACGGAAUUGAGAAAUCUUUUACUGCAAGUAAGAGUGAAGGUUCUUUAAACUGACAAAAAAAUAACUGCAAUUUUCGCAAGAAAAGAAGAAGAAGCUGAAGAAGCUUACUUCGAAGCAGAAGCACUCGCUGCGUAAGCACUUGUGCAAGAAAUCAUCUGACCUUGUCCCUCGUUAGAUGAUAUUCUUCCACCCAUAGGGACUUGCUGACAUUAGUGUCUGGUAUAAUGUCGGGACUUUUUAUCAGAAUAAGCUGGCGACGCUUGUUAUGCUGCUACCGACAGACGAAAACUACCUCGCAUAACUAAACUUGUAGAUGUAACUGGUUUACUUUUUCGGACGGGGGUUCAAUUCCCCCCACCUCCA
rnacentral:tmRNA from 1 species